rnacentral:rRNA from 1 species
GCCCUGGCAGUCAGAGGCGAUGAAGGACGUGCUAAUCUGCGAUAAGCGUCGGUAAGGUGAUAUGAACCGUUAUAACCGGCGAUUUCCGAAUGGGGAAACCCAGUGUGAUUCGUCACACUAUCAUUAACUGAAUCCAUAGGUUAAUGAGGCGAACCGGGGGAACUGAAACAUCUAAGUACCCCGAGGAAAAGAAAUCAACCGAGAUUCCCCCAGUAGCGGCGAGCGAACGGGGAGGAGCCCAGAGCCUGAAUCAGUGUGUGUGUUAGUGGAAGCGUCUGGAAAGGCGCGCGAUACAGGGUGACAGCCCCGUACACAAAAAUGCACAUGCUGUGAGCUCGAUGAGUAGGGCGGGACACGUGGUAUCCUGUCUGAAUAUGGGGGGACCAUCCUCCAAGGCUAAAUACUCCUGACUGACCGAUAGUGAACCAGUACCGUGAGGGAAAGGCGAAAAGAACCCCGGCGAGGGGAGUGAAAAAGAACCUGAAACCGUGUACGUACAAGCAGUGGGAGCACAGAGCAAUCUGUGUGACUGCGUACCUUUUGUAUAAUGGGUCAGCGACUUAUAUUCUGUAGCAAGGUUAACCGAAUAGGGGAGCCGAAGGGAAACCGAGUCUUAACUGGGCGUUAAGUUGCAGGGUAUAGACCCGAAACCCGGUGAUCUAGCCAUGGGCAGGUUGAAGGUUGGGUAACACUAACUGGAGGACCGAACCGACUAAUGUUGAAAAAUUAGCGGAUGACUUGUGGCUGGGGGUGAAAGGCCAAUCAAACCGGGAGAUAGCUGGUUCUCCCCGAAAGCUAUUUAGGUAGCGCCUCGUGAAUUCAUCUCCGGGGGUAGAGCACUGUUUCGGCAAGGGGGUCAUCCCGACUUACCAACCCGAUGCAAACUGCGAAUACCGGAGAAUGUUAUCACGGGAGACACACGGCGGGUGCUAACGUCCGUCGUGAAGAGGGAAACAACCCAGACCGCCAGCUAAGGUCCCAAAGUCAUGGUUAAGUGGGAAACGAUGUGGGAAGGCCCAGACAGCCAGGAUGUUGGCUUAGAAGCAGCCAUCAUUUAAAGAAAGCGUAAUAGCUCACUGGUCGAGUCGGCCUGCGCGGAAGAUGUAACGGGGCUAAACCAUGCACCGAAGCUGCGGCAGCGACGCUUAUGCGUUGUUGGGUAGGGGAGCGUUCUGUAAGCCUGCGAAGGUGUGCUGUGAGGCAUGCUGGAGGUAUCAGAAGUGCGAAUGCUGACAUAAGUAACGAUAAAGCGGGUGAAAAGCCCGCUCGCCGGAAGACCAAGGGUUCCUGUCCAACGUUAAUCGGGGCAGGGUGAGUCGACCCCUAAGGCGAGGCCGAAAGGCGUAGUCGAUGGGAAACAGGUUAAUAUUCCUGUACUUGGUGUUACUGCGAAGGGGGGACGGAGAAGGCUAUGUUGGCCGGGCGACGGUUGUCCCGGUUUAAGCGUGUAGGCUGGUUUUCCAGGCAAAUCCGGAAAAUCAAGGCUGAGGCGUGAUGACGAGGCACUACGGUGCUGAAGCAACAAAUGCCCUGCUUCCAGGAAAAGCCUCUAAGCAUCAGGUAACAUCAAAUCGUACCCCAAACCGACACAGGUGGUCAGGUAGAGAAUACCAAGGCGCUUGAGAGAACUCGGGUGAAGGAACUAGGCAAAAUGGUGCCGUAACUUCGGGAGAAGGCACGCUGAUAUGUAGGUGAAGCGACUUGCUCGUGGAGCUGAAAUCAGUCGAAGAUACCAGCUGGCUGCAACUGUUUAUUAAAAACACAGCACUGUGCAAACACGAAAGUGGACGUAUACGGUGUGACGCCUGCCCGGUGCCGGAAGGUUAAUUGAUGGGGUCAGCGCAAGCGAAGCUCUUGAUCGAAGCCCCGGUAAACGGCGGCCGUAACUAUAACGGUCCUAAGGUAGCGAAAUUCCUUGUCGGGUAAGUUCCGACCUGCACGAAUGGCGUAAUGAUGGCCAGGCUGUCUCCACCCGAGACUCAGUGAAAUUGAACUCGCUGUGAAGAUGCAGUGUACCCGCGGCAAGACGGAAAGACCCCGUGAACCUUUACUAUAGCUUGACACUGAACAUUGAGCCUUGAUGUGUAGGAUAGGUGGGAGGCUUUGAAGUGUGGACGCCAGUCUGCAUGGAGCCGACCUUGAAAUACCACCCUUUAAUGUUUGAUGUUCUAACGUGGACCCGUAAUCCGGGUUGCGGACAGUGUCUGGUGGGUAGUUUGACUGGGGCGGUCUCCUCCUAAAGAGUAACGGAGGAGCACGAAGGUUGGCUAAUCCUGGUCGGACAUCAGGAGGUUAGUGCAAUGGCAUAAGCCAGCUUGACUGCGAGCGUGACGGCGCGAGCAGGUGCGAAAGCAGGUCAUAGUGAUCCGGUGGUUCUGAAUGGAAGGGCCAUCGCUCAACGGAUAAAAGGUACUCCGGGGAUAACAGGCUGAUACCGCCCAAGAGUUCAUAUCGACGGCGGUGUUUGGCACCUCGAUGUCGGCUCAUCACAUCCUGGGGCUGAAGUAGGUCCCAAGGGUAUGGCUGUUCGCCAUUUAAAGUGGUACGCGAGCUGGGUUUAGAACGUCGUGAGACAGUUCGGUCCCUAUCUGCCGUGGGCGCUGGAGAACUGAGGGGGGCUGCUCCUAGUACGAGAGGACCGGAGUGGACGCAUCACUGGUGUUCGGGUUGUCAUGCCAAUGGCACUGCCCGGUAGCUAAAUGCGGAAGAGAUAAGUGCUGAAAGCAUCUAAGCACGAAACUUGCCCCGAGAUGAGUUCUCCCUGACUCCUUGAGAGUCCUGAAGGAACGUUGAAGACGACGACGUUGAUAGGCCGGGUGUGUAAGCGCAGCGAUGCGUUGAGCUAACCGGUACUAAUGAACCGUGAGGCUUAACCUUACAACGCCGAAGCUGUU